AUGGAAUCAUUUCCGCCGAAUGUGACGUUCAGAAGAGAUUUAAUUGGACCCAGACUACAAUCGUGGAACAUUCUGCUUCAGCGGUUAUCCACAGUGCAAUUGUCACAUGGGUCUGAUGUAUUCCGAUGGAAGCUCCAUGGGAAUGGACAAUUCUCAGCGGAGUCUAUGUAUAGAGCGUUAAUCCAGUCCGAUGUGCCAGUUGAUAAUAACAAGAAGAUCUGGAAGAUGAAGAUAUCACUUAAGAAUAAAAUCUUUGCAUGGUAUCUUCGUUGCAGAGUCAUUCUUACCAAAGAUAAACUUAUUAAGAGGAAUUGGCAUGGAAGUCCGCAAUGUGUCUUUUGUCACCAUGAGGAGACAAUAAAACAGUUAUUCUUCCAAUGCAAAUUAGCUCGUUCUAUGUGGUCAGUCAUCCAAAUAGCUUCUGGCUUGUAUCCUCCCUAUAGUGUUGCUAAUGUAUUUGGCAACUGGUUGCAUAUGAUUGAUCACAAGUUUAGAACUCUUCUCAGGGUGGGAGCGCUUGCCAUUAUUUGGUCGCUUUGGCUACAUAGAAAUGAUAAGAUUUUUAACGAUAAAAGUACGUCUCUGUUGCAGGUUAUCUACAGAUGUACCGGGACUCUUCGUUUAUGGUCCUCUCUACAACGCGUGGAGAAACAAGACCUUUUUACGGAGGUGUGUACAUGA
rnacentral:rRNA from 1 species